rnacentral:rRNA from 1 species
CCUACGGGAGGCAGCAGUGGGGAAUAUUGCACAAUGGGGGAAACCCUGAUGCAGCGACGCCGCGUGAGUGAAGAAGUAUUUCGGUAUGGAAAGCUCUAUCAGCAGGGGAGAAAAUGACUGUACCUGAUUAAGAAGCCCCGGCUAACUACGUUCCAGCAGCCGCGGCAAUACGUGGGGGGCAAGCGUUAUCCGGAUUUACUGGGUGUAAGGGGUGCGUAGGCGGGCUGUUAAGUCAGCGGUAAAAGCUCGGGGCCCAACCCCGGCGAGCCGUUGAAACUGGCUGUCUUGAGAUGUCGAGAGGUAUGCGGAAUGCGCAGUGUAGCGGUGAAAUGCUUAGAUAUUGCGCAGAACUCCGAUUGCGAAGGCAGCAUACCGGCGGCGAUCUGACGCUGAGGCACGAAAGCGUGGGUAUCGAACAGGAUUAGAUACCCCUGUAGUC